rnacentral:miRNA from 2 species
UAUGUCACAUGGUCCACUAAU